rnacentral:rRNA from 1 species
AUUGAACGCUGGCGGCAGGCCUAACACAUGCAAGUCGAACGAGUGGCGGACGGGUGAGUAAUGUCUGGGAAACUGCCUGAUGGAGGGGGAUAACUACUGGAACGGUAGCUAAUACCGCAUACCCACGGAUGUGCCCAGAUGGGGUUAGCUAGUAGGUGGGGUAAAGGCUAACCUAGGCGACGUUCCCUAGCGGGUCUGAGAGGAGGAACGGCAACACGGGAACUGAGACACGGUCCAGACGCCUACGGGAGGCAGCAGUGGGGAAUAUUGCACAAUGGGCGCAAGCCUGAUGCAGCCAUGCCGCGUGUAUGAAGAAGGCCUUCGGGUUGUAAAGUACUUUCAGCGGGGAGGCGUUACCCGCAGAAGAAGCACCGGCUAACUCCGUGCCAGCAGCCGCGGUAAUUC